CAGUAAAUGCUGUGGCAUGAAGGACCCUCCUGGAGUGUCUGAGUUCUCAGGCUUCAAGGCCCCUAGAUAAGCAGAUUUCUCUCCCCUAUCACCAUAGUCACCCCAGGGACUGCAGGGCAGGCCGAAAUCAGCCAGUGACUCAGCUCCUUGGGCAAUUCAGCUGGCCCACAGACCACUUCCUCUGCUCCCCAGCGCCGGAUGGAUGCAGAUCUGUGAGUAAGGAGCCAGCUGCAGGCAAGCAGCUCGAGGGCAGGUGGGCAUGAUGUCUGGCUACCACUCGCACUGGACGCCACACACACAGCCAGGGUGGCAGAAGGCCCCACCUGCCAUGUGCCAGUGGGACACCACCCUCAUGGUCUGCGUUUCCAGGUUUCCAACUAAGGACUGAGCACACUCUCAACAUGGACCUCCUAACUGCUCUCGAGGAUGGACAGCUGGCCUCAAGGGAACACUGCAAAGUGGCUCUAGGAAGAAGCCACUGUCCCUCCAGACCAUAAAAAUGGCUACCAAGGGCAGAGCCAGCAGCUUUCGCUGUAAAGUUUCUCAAGAAAAUCACAGAUAUUCCCCUCUGUGAUGUUCAGCUCAGCCUGGAAAGGAGAGGUAGAAACUGAGAGUUGAAGAGGCUGAAUAAUUUCUCAAGCACACUCCCAACUCGACCACCCACAAGCAAAAAGGCAGAGCUGGGAUUCAAACACAGGCAGGAAUAAUAUAACUAACUGAAUUAUACAGGUGAGACCACGAAGGUCAAGCAAGGGUGACCAGCUUAGGCCCCUGGCUGGCAGGUAAGGAGGAGACUGACCCCAGCCUCCUGGCUCCUAGGGGAGGAAACAGUGAUGACAAAGGCCCCUUUGCAUGGCCAAGGUGGAGCCCUUUCUACCAAAGUUUAAACGUUUUAGUAUAAUAUCCAAGUGCAUCUUUUCCAACCUUAAAAACAUAUUUAAUUUCCUUAUAAAGCUGGUUGGCACUCUCCUCCUCCUCCAAAGCUCUGUAUUAGGCAGGGUUCAUAGUUGUAGACAACAGA
rnacentral:lncRNA from 1 species